UACAGAGGGGGCAAGCGUUGUUCGGAAUUACUGGGCGUAAAGGGCGCGUAGGCGGCCUGCUAAGUCGAACGUGAAAUCCCUGGGCUCAACCCAAGAACUGCGUCCGAUACUGGUUGGCUUGAAUCCGGGAGAGGGAUGUGGAAUUCCAGGUGUAGCGGUGAAAUGCGUAGAUAUCUGGAGGAACACCGGUGGCGAAGGCGACAUCCUGGACCGGCAUUGACGCUGAGGCGCGAAAGCCAGGGGAGCAAACGGG
rnacentral:rRNA from 1 species